AUGUCGAUUUUUAGAUGCAUCUUUAAAUUGAAAUUGGUUGAUAAUGGUGGUUGAUGUGUUGAUAACAGUGGUAAUUUGGUAAAUAAGUGAUGUAGAUGAUGACGUAUGAGUAAAAACAGUUUCGAAAAAAUAAAUGUAAUGACAUUUUCAUGAAUAGUUUGAACUUCUAAGGUGAUUAGGACAAAUGAAUAUUUUAAAAGGUCAUUUGUGUGUUUGACCACAAAUAUUGAGUCAUAUUUGAAAAAGCCCUAUGUAUAUAAUAUUCUAAAAUAUAAUUUUAUAGUGAACAUUUACAUCUAAUAUUUAAAAUUUUAUUUUGAAUAUCCCUUAUAGAAAAAUAAUUAGUAAAGUGCGUAUGAUAAUAACUCGCAAAACUUAUUAAUAUAAUAAUUUAGUGAAAUAACCAAUGUUAAGGAAAAAAGUAUUUCGCGUAUUAAUCUUCUUUCAUGAAUAUAUCAUUUGGUAUUUUUGAGAAGUGUAAUUUAAUAUGAUGAAUUAAGCAUUCACAAAUUAUAUUCGAAAAU
rnacentral:lncRNA from 1 species